CCUACGGGAGGCAGCAGUGGGGAAUUUUGGACAAUGGGCGCAAGCCUGAUCCAGCAAUGCCGCGUGAGUGAAGAAGGCCUUCGGGUUGUAAAGCUCUUUUGUCAGGGAAGAAACGGCUCCAGCUAAUAUCUGGGGCUAAUGACGGUACCUGAAGAAUAAGCACCGGCUAACUACGUGCCAGCAGCCGCGGUAAUACGUAGGGUGCAAGCGUUAAUCGGAAUUACUGGGCGUAAAGCGUGCGCAGGCGGUUUUGUAAGUCUGUCGUGAAAGCCCCGGGCUCAACCUGGGAAUUGCGAUGGAGACUGCAAGGCUUGAAUCUGGCAGAGGGGGGUAGAAUUCCACGUGUAGCAGUGAAAUGCGUAGAGAUGUGGAGGAACACCGAUGGCGAAGGCAGCCCCCUGGGUCAAGAUUGACGCUCAUGCACGAAAGCGUGGGGAGCAAACAGGAUUAGAUACCCUGGUAGUCCACGCCCUAAACGAUGUCUACUAGUUGUCGGGUUUUAAUUAACUUGGUAACGCAGCUAACGCGUGAAGUAGACCGCCUGGGGAGUACGGUCGCAAGAUUAAAACUNAAAGGAAUUGACGG
rnacentral:rRNA from 1 species